ensembl:snoRNA SNORD15 Small nucleolar RNA SNORD15
CUUCUGUGAUGAUACGAUGACGAGUCUGAUUGGGUAAAUCCUUUUCCAGUGGUCCCUGUCUGCAUCACGUUCUGUGCUGUAGGCUGAAGCCCACUGAGUCAAGGUUGCCCUUUGCUUGAUGUCCAUGAGGCAUUUGUCUGAGAAGG